rnacentral:rRNA from 1 species
UACGGAGGGGGCUAGCGUUGUUCGGAAUUACUGGGCGUAAAGCGCGCGUAGGCGGCUUUGUCAGUUAGAGGUGAAAGCCCGGAGCUCAACUCCGGAACUGCCUUUAAGACUGCAUCGCUAGAAUUGUGGAGAGGUAAGUGGAAUUCCGGGUGUAGAGGUGAAAUUCGUAGAUAUUCGGAAGAACACCAGUGGCGAAGGCGACAUACUGGACACAUAUUGACGCUGAGGUGCGAAAGCGUGGGGAGCAAACAGG